rnacentral:rRNA from 1 species
UGGGGAAUAUUGCACAAUGGGCGAAAGCCUGAUGCAGCGACGCCGCGUGAGGGAUGACGGCCUUCGGGUUGUAAACCUCUUUCAGUAGGGAAGAAGCGAAAGUGACGGUACCUGCAGAAGAAGCGCCGGCUAACUACGUGCCAGCAGCCGCGGUAAUACGUAGGGCGCAAGCGUUAUCCGGAAUUAUUGGGCGUAAAGAGCUCGUAGGCGGUUUGUCGCGUCUGCCGUGAAAGUCCGGGGCUCAACUCCGGAUCUGCGGUGGGUACGGGCAGACUAGAGUGAUGUAGGGGAGACUGGAAUUCCUGGUGUAGCGGUGAAAUGCGCAGAUAUCAGGAGGAACACCGAUGGCGAAGGCAGGUCUCUGGGCAUUAACUGACGCUGAGGAGCGAAAGCAUGGGGAGCGAACAGGAUUAGAUACCCUGGUAGUCCAUGCCGUAAACGUUGGGCACUAGGUGUGGGGGACAUUCCACGUUUUCCGCGCCGUAGCUAACGC